rnacentral:rRNA from 1 species
UACGUAGGUGGCAAACGUUGUCCGGAUUCACUGGGCGUAAAGCGCGCGCAGGCGGAUUGGUCAGUCUGGGGUGAAAUCUCUCGGCUCAACUGAGAGAGGUCCCUGGAUACUGCCAGUCUUGAGGGGCUCAGAGGAGAGUGGAAUUCCGCGUGUAGUGGUGGAAUGCGUAGAUAUGACAUAGAACACCAAUUGCGAAGGCAGCUGGCUACACGAAUAUUGACACUGAUGCACGAAAGCGUGGGGAUCAAACAGG